rnacentral:tRNA from 1 species
UAAGUUAUAGUGUAUGGCGCACGCAGAGUUUUGAUCUCUGAAGUUAAAAGUUCAACUCUUUUUAACUUAA